GUGUUGUGGUGAUAUAGCAUGUAUGUGAAACUGGCAACACGGGUACAUCUGCCUCUGAAACUAUAGUGAUUAGUUUAUUGCUGGUUGAGGAGGGAAGCAGUUCAUAGUGCACGAAGAGAUACCAAAUUCAUUGAAGCUGCAACCACGGAAGCUGCUCUCGAUAGUUGGUGUGUCGUGCCGAAAAUGAAUAUCCUCCCCAACAAACUUCAAUGAAUUUGAAGCUCAAUAUACUCGAAAAGCACCAUGGAGACAACAAUACUUGCUCUCCAACAGUUGGAGGAGCGUAGCAAGCAAUGGCGAAAGCAUUACGAGGAUGAAGAGAAAAGGAUAGAAGCUGAAUAUGAACGUGAGUUGGCUGAAAUUGAGCGUGCAUAUAAAGAAGCUGCACGCAAAAUUCGAAUGGACUUUUAUGCUAGAAGAGAAGCUGUAAAAAGGCAACAUUAUGGUGAAGAUGUUCGUGAAAAACAACCCGUUAAAUCUUCUCAAAAAAUUGCCUGCAAUACUGCCCAUCACUGCAGAGAAGGUCCGUCUCAUCGACAGUUAUUAGCGCCCCGAACAGAUUCAAUCGAUGUAUCUGUUGAACAAAGAGGGUCCCAAACAAUACCAUCGAAGGCGACACGACUCGUCGCAUCAUCAUAUAUACCGCCAAUUUCUAGUGUGUUAAUUAUAUCCACUAGGAAUGGCAAUUACAGAAGCAGCGAUAAUCAAAAACUGCGCACCGACAAGUAUAUGGCUUUGGAAACCGUAUCAAACCAUGGACAAUACGGGAUGAGUAACGCAAGUGGAUUUUUCAAAACAAAAAUGUUAACAACGACAAACGUGCUUGUGGUCUUCGAUCCCGGUGGCACCCGUUUGAAUGGACCGUACAUUGAGACAAUGCACAAUGUGAAUAUAAGUGGUAUCCGUCGAUGUAGGCUAUUCCAUGGGAAAACGGCAAACAGAAUUGUUCGACCUCGUUACCAGUUUCACGGGCGGGGGUAUGUUGUGGUGAUAUAGCAUGUAUGUGAAACUGGCAACACGGGUACAUCUGCCUCUGAAACUAUAGUGAUUAGUUUAUUGCUGGUUGAGGAGGGAAGCAGUUCAUAGUGCACGAAGAGAUACCAAAUUGUAUGUAUUGUAUCAUUAGAAGUUAGCACAAAUGUAUAUAUGUAAUUAAGUUAAUAAAAUGAAUUUCAGCAUUGAAGCUGCAACCACGGAA